UACGAAGGGGGCUAGCGUUGCUCGGAAUCACUGGGCGUAAAGCGCACGUAGGCGGCUUGUUAAGUCAGGGGUGAAAUCCUGGAGCUCAACUCCAGAACUGCCUUUGAUACUGGCGAGCUUGAGUUCGGGAGAGGUGAGUGAAACUGCGAGUGUAGAGGUGAAAUUCGUAGAUAUUCGCAAGAACACCAGUGGCGAAGGCGGCUCACUGGCCCGAUACUGACGCUGAGGUGCGAAAGCGUGGGGAGCAAACAGG
rnacentral:rRNA from 1 species